UACGUAGGGGGCGAGCGUUGUCCGGAUUUAUUGGGCGUAAAGAGCGUGUAGGCGGUUCGGUAAGUCUGUCGUGAAAUCCUGAGGCUCAACCUCGGGCGUGCGAUGGAUACUGCCGGGCUAGAGGGUGGUAGAGGCGAGUGGAAUUCCCGGUGUAGCGGUGAAAUGCGCAGAUAUCAGGAGGAACACCAGUAGCGAAGGCGGCUCGCUGGGCCACACCUGACGCUGAGACGCGAAAGCUAGGGGAGCGAACAGG
rnacentral:rRNA from 1 species